UACAGAGGGGGCAAGCGUUGUUCGGAAUUACUGGGCGUAAAGGGCGCGUAGGCGGCCUGUUAAGUCGAACGUGAAAUCCCCAGGCUCAACCUGGGAACUGCGUCCGAUACUGGCAGGCUUGAAUCCGGGAGAGGGAUGUGGAAUUCCUGGUGUAGCGGUGAAAUGCGUAGAUAUCAGGAGGAAUACCUAUGGCGAAAGCAGGUAUCUGGGCCAUCACUGACGCUGAGCUGCGAAAGCUAGGGGAGCAAACAGG
rnacentral:rRNA from 1 species